GCAUUGACGACCUUUGAGGAGUCAAGUGGAUGUGUCCAAUCAUGUGAGAGGAUGCGCACUCACUUUCCGAGUAGGCCCCGGGCAUGUGCCACACGAAUGAUUGCCUUAUCGGGUAGUCAAGUGGAAAUAUUUUACAUACGUAGAAAACCUUUUCUAGUGGAAAAUAUUUUAGAUACGUAGAAAACCUUAUACCUAUACUUAAGCCUGGAAAAUCCAAGGGCCAAACCGAUCGGGCCUUACAAGCUCAUAUAGGCCGAGCCUUAAAAGGCCUUCCCGAAGAAUGGGCAGGAUCAGAUCGGGCCAUCUCCAUAAAAGGGCUGACCUGUGAACGUGGCCCAUAAUCGAUCCUUGAGUCAAUUGGAAGGGCUGAGCCCGUGGAUCGCAGGAAAGGGGCUCUCCUCUUUUUCGCGGCCUCUCCAGGCUCGUGCGGCGGCGGCGGCGGCGCAAGAACUCAAGAUCCGGGCGGUGCGGGGGUGCGAGGCGCUCCCGUGGGGCCGGCCCCCGGCGGGCUCCGGCAGGGCGUGCGGCUAGGCCGACGCGCGGCGGCCAGCAAGAGCAGGCGGCCUCAGCAGCGGACGCAGGUGGCGUCGGCGUGCAGGCUCUUUUGUUCACUUGGAAGAUACUAGGCCGAAGGCUAAGAAGUUGUGUCAUCUAGGUGAUAUGGAUCUAGGACAAGAAGUUGUGGUUGAUGAAGUGGGAGUUGAUUGAACAGCUGUUUACCUUGACAUUAGACAAUGCUAGUGUGAAUAACAAAGCAGUAAAGGACAUUCGUGAUGCUUUAAGUGAGGCAACCAAAGCAUUCUCCGCAAACAGGCAUCCUACAGCCCACCUUUUCUUGAAGAUGUUGCUAGCAAUUCGAGAUGUUUUGCUCGAUGAGACGUGGAAUUCAUCAAGUUCUAUUUCUAUACCAUUGGUGAAAAUAUUGAAGUGAAAAUGAGGGAGCUGAAUCGGUAUUUGAAGAAAUAUUACCUAGAGUACUCUUGUCA